AUUUAGAUCAAGAAACGAAGAAAACAGAAUUGGAUUGGGGGAAAACAAAAGUAGUCGAAUAGUCGAACGUCUCCGUCUAUAUCCGAGACUUAAGAUCAAGCUUCAAGCUCGAGGAUCGUCAGCAAGUUCAUCACUCUAUCUACUGUCUCGGUAUUAAACUGUUUAAAUUUUAACUUUGGCAUGUACAGGCUAGAUAAAUGUUUUGGAAAGUCGUACUUUGAUAUAUUGUAUAUGAAAUUAAUAGCCAUACGAAAAUGGCUUAUUUUCUUAUGGUUUAA